UACGUAGGGUGCAAGCGUUGUCCGGAAUUAUUGGGCGUAAAGAGCUCGUAGGCGGUCUGUUGCGUCGGCUGUGAAAACCCGGGGCUCAACUCCGGGCCUGCAGCCGAUACGGGCAGACUAGAGUUCGGCAGGGGAGACUGGAAUUCCUGGUGUAGCGGUGAAAUGCGCAGAUAUCAGGAGGAACACCGGUGGCGAAGGCGGGUCUCUGGGCCGAUACUGACGCUGAGGAGCGAAAGCAUGGGUAGCGAACAGG
rnacentral:rRNA from 1 species